rnacentral:rRNA from 1 species
UACGUAGGGCGCAAGCGUUGUCCGGAAUUAUUGGGCGUAAAGAGCUCGUAGGCGGCUUGUCACGUCGGGUGUGAAAGCCCGGGGCUUAACCCCGGGUCUGCAUUCGAUACGGGCUAGCUAGAGUGUGGUAGGGGAGAUCGGAAUUCCUGGUGUAGCGGUGAAAUGCGCAGAUAUCAGGAGGAACACCGGUGGCGAAGGCGGAUCUCUGGGCCUGUCCUGACGCUCAGGCGCGAAAGCUAGGGGAGCGAACAGG